UAUGUAGGUGGUUUGUUAAGUUGAGGGUGAAAUCUUUAGGCUCAACCUAAAAACUGCUCUCAAAACUGACAAACUAGAGUUCAGAAGAGGAGAAUGGAAUUCCAGGUGUAGGGGUGAAAUCUGUAGAUAUCUGGAAGAACACCAGUGGCGAAGGCGAUUCUCUGGUCUGAAACUGACACUGAGAUACGAAAGCUAGGGGAGCAAACAGGAUUAGAUACCCUGGUAGUCC
rnacentral:rRNA from 1 species